CUAAAAAAAACACAGUAAGGACCAGUUCAGAUCAAAGAUUCGCGACGAGACGAGUUGAAAACUUCUUGCAACGAGUCGGUCUGCAGCGUUCUAAAACCUGCCAGUUCACACCAAUAAGACGAGGCGAUACGGUGUAUCAUCUCUAUGACAACGCCUCGUUAUUCUUCUGUUCU